rnacentral:tRNA from 1 species
GCCCGCCUAGCUCAAUCGGAUAGAGCGUCAGACUCUUAUCCUGACAUGCGGGUUAUGAAAUCUGAAGGCUGCGAGUUCGACCCUCGCGGUGGGCU